AUGAUGCAAAAUGGACGUAUCACCCACCCACAGUCGAAUGGACAAGCUAAAAGAGCAAACGGAUUGAUUCUCAAAGGAUUGAAACCCCGAUUGAUGUGUGACCUCAAGCAUGCAGCAGGCGCCUGGGUCGAUGAACUUCCAUCAGUACUUUGGGGAUUGAGGACAACUCCUAAUCGGUCGACUGGCCGAACUCCAUUCUUCUUAGUCUAUGGGACUGACGCCGUGCUUCCGAGUGACUUGCUUCACAAUGCACCCCGAGUCGAACUUUUCUCAAAAGAUGAAGCAGAACAGGCUCGGCAAGAUGUAGUUGAUCUCCUGGAAGAGGAAAGAGAGAUGGCCCUAAUCCGGUCAACCAUUUAUCAGCAUGACCUGCGUCGAUUCCAUGCCCGAAACGUGACAGGUCGAGCAUUUCAAGAGGGAGACUUAGUUCUUCGAGUGGAUCAGCAGAAACCACACAAGCUCGCUCCUGCUUGGGAAGGCCCCUUCAUCGUCACCAAAGUGCUGCACAACGGAGCAUAUCGCCUCUACAACAUCGAGCGCAAUAAAGACAAGCCACGCGCUUGGAAUGCGGAGCUACACCGCCCCUUUUAUACUUAA
rnacentral:rRNA from 1 species